rnacentral:rRNA from 1 species
CGUGUAGGCGGUUUGUACAGUCAGAUGUGAAAUCCCCGGGCUUAACCUGGGAGCUGCAUUUGAUACGUGCAGACUAGAGUGUGAGAGAGGGUUGUGGAAUUCCCAGUGUAGAGGUGAAAUUCGUAGAUAUUGGGAAGAACACCGGUGGCGAAGGCGGCAACCUGGCUCAUUACUGACGCUGAGGCGCGAAAGCCAGGGUAGUGAACG